GAGGAUUUACAACACAUAAAGGAAAACAAACAACUUGAAGCAGCAUCUGAAAUAUGAGCAAUGAGUAUCUCCAAGGCACUUAAUUAGAAUGGAAGUAAAUUCAGGAAAAAAAAAAAAAAAA